UCGCAGCCAUUGCAUUCUCAACCCUAUGCUUGAUGAGGACUCUGGACCUGCCUAAAAAAUCUUCAACAAUCAUGAGCAGGGAAAUGCAUAAAUACUGUUUGAUACUUGCCUUCACUGAGAGAAUGCAAGUUCUAAGAGGAUCGCAAUCUUGUCUGCUGACUUACAACUGUCUCCAUAUUCUAAUAUUUACCAGCAAAUAAGCAUGUGCGACUGAAGAUGCAGCACAGGACUGUAUGAAGCCUUCAGCAAUUCAUUGUCCUGAAGAUCCAAAUAUUGAAAGAUUUCACUCAUUGUUGAAUCAGCACAAGAUAAGAGGAGCUCUCCAUGCCCAUGAGGGAAUAAAGAUUCUUAAGUUCA